UCUUAAAUUUGAAGUCAGAUCCCACACAAUCUCGUAUGUGUGGAUCUGAGUUCCUCUCUUCUGGAUUUGUUUGGAUGAAUGGCAGAGCGAGAGCCUCUCCGCUUUGAAUAUUUGAGCGACUAGCCAUAAUGGGUGCUGAAUGGGAUCCGGCGGCUGAGUUUAGCGAAGACACUCACUGACCAAUACGUAUUUAGAAGACUCAUGCUUUCCUUUUUUUGUUAACACACUUUCCCCCAAAAAAAGCAGAGUCUUUCGGCGGGUUUCUUGUUCUUGAAACUCCAAACUCGGCGAACUCGAUUUGAACUGUAUUCGGGAGCGUAAAAACCGCGAAUGUGGGAAAAACGAGACGGGUACAACCACAAAGAACUUCGGUUAAGACUGUGGAAUUAUUAACAUCGUUAAUAAUUACGUAGUUCCGGUUCUAAAGAAUGCCGGGCUGAUCUGAGGAUCAAAUCAGAUACUCGCCCAUUUCAACUUUGGCCGUGGACGAGGCGAAAGCGGUGUAGUUUGUGUCUAAAUCGCGAGUUUGAAACCGGAAGAGUGAAUUAGGUUAUUCAAAUAAUUGUAACUAGAAAUACCCUCCAGUGCAUCCGUCAAACGAUAAAUAGGAGGAAGAGCCGUUUUCGACACCACGUCCAUCGUUGGAAUCCAGCCCCGAACGCUAUUGAAGGUGGCCGCGCAUCCCAUUCGUAAGCGCUACAACACUCGCGGAAAAGGAAAACCAGCCGCGGCUCGAAUACCAGAGUUCAUCGGCGGAUUCAUCGCCCACGUCUCCCAUGCACGCAAGAGCCGCCGGCUAUUCACGUAAUGCCUAGGUUGUGAGUACUCUUUUCGUUUCUUUCUAACACAUGCGCAUGUAGAGAAAUAAAUUUGAAAAGCCACACACGUAUUAACAAAGCCACAAUGCCACACACAAAAUAGAGCAUGCUAAAUAUAGAGCAAUAACCGACGACGAUAGAAUAUCGUCGGUAAAGGAGGGCAUGAACGCAGAUGAAAUGAUAGGUUAGUUAGAAAAGCAACAGUUUAGAAAUCCCAUGGGUAGAGGUUCAAAACCAACGUAUAUAUGUGAUUUAUAAAAAAAUAUAUAAUUGCUGUUGAAUUGAUGUUUGAAUGUUUGUAAUGAUGGUUGUUAUGUUUGAUAUGAUUAUUGAGUUCUAUGU